rnacentral:rRNA from 1 species
UACGGAGGAUCCGAGCGUUAUCCGGAUUUAUUGGGUUUAAAGGGUGCGCAGGCGGGAGAUUAAGUCGGCGGUGAAAUUUUGCAGCUCAACUGUAAAAGUGCCUUCGAAACUGGUUUCCUUGAGUGUGGAUGAAGUAGGCGGAAUUUGUGGUGUAGCGGUGAAAUGCAUAGAUAUCACGAGGAACUCCGAUUGCGCAGGCAGCUUACUAAACCAUAACUGACGCUCAGGCACGAAGGCGUGGGGAUCAAACAGGAUUAGAUACCCCCGGUAGU